GUAGGUGGCAAGCGUUGUCCGGGAAUUAUUGGGGCGUAAAGCGCGCGCAGGCGGUUUUUUAGGUCUGAUGUGAAAGCCCACGGGCUCAACCGUGGAGGGUCAUUGGAAACUGGAGAACUUGAGUACAGAAGAGGAAAGCGGAAUUCCACGUGUAGCGGUGAAAUGCGUAGAGAUGUGGAGGAACACCAGUGGCGAAGGCGGCUUUCUGGUCUGUAACUGACGCUGAGGCGCGAAAGCGUGGGGAGCAAACAGGAUUAGAUACCCUGGUAGUCCACGCCGUAAACGAUGAGUGCUAAGUGUUAGGGGGUUUCCGCCCCUUAGUGCUGCAGCUAACGCAUUAAGCACUCCGCCUGGGGAGUACGGCCGCAAAGGCUGA
rnacentral:rRNA from 1 species